AGCGAACGCUGGCGGCAGGCCUAACACAUGCAAGUCGAACGAACUCUUCGGAGUUAGUGGCGGACGGGUGAGUAACACGUGGGAACGUGCCUUUAGGUUCGGAAUAACUCAGGGAAACUUGUGCUAAUACCGAAUGUGCCCUUCGGGGGAAAGAUUUAUCGCCUUUAGAGCGGCCCGCGUCUGAUUAGCUAGUUGGUGAGGUAAAGGCUCACCAAGGCGACGAUCAGUAGCUGGUCUGAGAGGAUGAUCAGCCACAUUGGGACUGAGACACGGCCCAAACUCCUACGGGAGGCAGCAGUGGGGAAUCUUGCGCAAUGGGCGAAAGCCUGACGCAGCCAUGCCGCGUGAAUGAUGAAGGUCUUAGGAUUGUAAAAUUCUUUCACCGGGGACGAUAAUGACGGUACCCGGAGAAGAAGCCCCGGCUAACUUCGUGCCAGCAGCCGCCGUAACAC
rnacentral:rRNA from 1 species